rnacentral:tmRNA from 1 species
GGGGGCGAAAGGUUUCGACCAAGUAGGUAGAUGUAAAAGUUGCACUCUGAGGUUGUCAGGAGGCCUCAUUAAAAACCUGGCAAAAACUUAAAUGCUGAUAAAGAAUUAGCAUUGGCUGCAUAAAAACAGCCGCGUCCUUCCAACUCUCGCCUGUGGGGUUGAAUGGGCGACAGAUAGCAGGAUAGUUGAGCCUUUUUGCUCAAUGGAGGCUUGGCGAAAUUUUAAUUUGAGAUAGCUGUUUUGAAGGCCUGUCUAUCGGCAUUUGAUUCAGCGAAAUAAAAAGAUAGACUAUGUGUGUAGAAACUUUUGCUGAAAUACUUUGGGACGCGGGUUCGAUUCCCGCCGCCUCCACCA